GGAAGACGACUUGAAGCAAAUAGCUGGGCCAGGAUGGUUACGUACAGCAAAGGACAAAAGCAAAUGGAAAUCCUUAGAGGAGGCCUUUGUCGAAAGACAAGCUGUUAAGAGGAGAGAUAAGCCGAAUGCCGAGAUAUGUUUUAGUAUAAGUUAAUUUUAUAGUUUUCUUACCUCUAUUAUUAUCAUUUUAUGUUUAGUUAAAUAAGUUAAACUCUAACAGCAAUAAAGGCUUAUUCAUUUAUUUAUUUAAUUUGGAUUAAAAUAUACGUAAACAUUAACUGUCUUCAUUAAAAUGAGUUAUUGUAGCUAUACUUAUAUAUCGUUGAUACCUUCGAGGCGUGUCUUACCAAUCUAUACUAAUAUUAUAAAGAUGAAGAGUUUGUCUGUUUGAACGCGCUAAUCUCAGAAACUACUCGUCCGAUUUGAAAAAUUAUUUCAGUGUUAGAUAGCUCAUUUAUCGAAUUUAUGCUAUAUAACGUCACGGUAAGACCAAUACAAGCGGAGCACCAAUAAAGAAUGUUUCAAAAUCGGGGCUAUAUUUACCUCUUGAGAGCUUCCGCUUCGUGCGCUGCAGAAACGGUUAAAGUUUCGCUAAAAUAAUGUAUGACAGAAUUGUUCCCCUUUAAAAGAUCUAAAAAAAAGUCCGCGACAGCAUAUGUCUAUAUGUUAAGGUUGGCUCACUAUAACGUUUUUUAUACUAACCAAAUUUGUUCUAAAAUAAAGCAUUAUUUGUGAACUAUUCCACGCGGACGAAGUCGCGGGCAAAAGCUAGUAUUAUUAUACGUUGUUUCGUUAAAUGGUUCGCAAAAGGGUAAGAACUGUAGAACUUUUGAAAGGCGAAAGCUGAAUAUAUACAGAUAAAACUUAAAAUAAACCUUUUAGCAGGACAUUUAUUUAUUGUAUUACCAGAAAACAUUCAAACCAGCCCAAAACAUCUGUCAAAUCAAGUGAUAAAUCGCUUUACACAAUACGUGCAUGCUUAAUAGUAUGAAAUGAAUAUUUCCAGUUGGAGAAACUCGGGGAUUUCAGUAGCCGCCGAUCGCUAAAAGCGACAAAACAAGAGAUCAUGACGCAGCAAGAAUGCAGACAGAUCACAGGGUACAAUGUCGGAGGAGGAACGCUGUGCUGUGUACCUAUUAUUGGAAAUAAUCAUAAGGAUGACGCCGGCAAUGGCUUAGUGACCAGCCAACCACAGAUACUAGUCGGUGUGUUGUCAUAUAUCGCGGACGGUUACAGCGUAUACACUGGCGUUGCUGUGCACCGGGAUUGGAUCAUAAAGGCGUGCAAGAGAUUAUACCGCGCAGAUUGUUUUGAAAAUAAAAAUCAUCACGAAUAAAAC